GCUGGCAUGGCUCAAUGGCUAGAGCAUUGGCUUGCACACCAGAGGGUGCAGGUUCGAUCCCUGGCCCCAGUC
rfam:Myotis lucifugus cont2.41419, whole genome shotgun sequence.